rnacentral:rRNA from 1 species
UUUGACCUCGGAUCAGGUAGGAAUACCCGCUGAA